UGUUGAAAUUUUCAUUUCUUUUUACUGUUAAAAAUUGAUGUGGUUGACAGAAUAAUCAGAAAGUUACGCGUAUCUCAUUCUGAUGUAUAGGGAACAAUUUUUAAUAGUAGAAAUAGAUAAAUUUUUAAUA
rfam:Gossypium arboreum cultivar AKA8401 contig_1313_9, whole genome shotgun sequence.